UACGUAGGUGGCAAGCGUUGUCCGGAAUUAUUGGGCGUAAAGCGCGCGCAGGCGGUCCUUUAAGUCUGAUGUGAAAGCCCACGGCUCAACCGUGGAGGGUCAUUGGAAACUGGGGGACUUGAGUACAGAAGAGGAGAGCGGAAUUCCACGUGUAGCGGUGAAAUGCGUAGAGAUGUGGAGGAACACCAGUGGCGAAGGCGGCUCUCUGGUCUGUAACUGACGCUGAGGCGCGAAAGCGUGGGGAGCGAACAGG
rnacentral:rRNA from 1 species